UAAUAAGUGUUUUAUGGCACUUUUAAAUCCAUAUCCACCUUGUGUGCAAUGUCAGUCGAUCUUCUUCAUGGAGAUCGACCAAACAUCAACCUUUAUCUUUUAACUCUUUGUCUUAAAAAUAUUAUGAAUAAACAAUUCAAAAUA
rnacentral:misc_RNA from 1 species